rnacentral:rRNA from 1 species
GACGAACGCUGGCGGCGUGCCUAAUGAAUGCGAGUCGAACGGAGUGCAACAUCGGUCACACCUUCGGGUGCGACCUGGUUGCACUUAGUGGCGAACGGGUGAGUAACACGUGGGUAACGUGCCUCCGAGACGGGCAUAACAGAGGGAAACCUCUGCUAAUUCCCGAUAUGCUGCCGAUGCCUUGGCAUCGACCAGGAAAGCUCCGGCGCUCGGAGAUCGGCCCGCGGUCCAUUAGCUAGUUGGUGAGGUAAGGGCUCACCAAGGCGACGAUGGAUAGCUGGUCUGAGAGGACGAUCAGCCACGCUGGGACUGCGACAUGGUCCAGACUCCUACGGGAGUUAGCAUCCGGGAAUCUUGCACAAUGGGCGCAAGCCUGAUGCAGCGACGCCGCGUGGGUGAUGAAGGUCUGCGGAUCGUAAAGCCCUGUCAGGAGGGAAGAAGUUCUGACUGUACCUCCAAAGGAGCCCCGGCUAACU